CAUAUUUUAAGAGUUUUAUGUAUUCUGCAAGAUUUAUAACAAGGCUAUGAGAAAGAUGUUGUGACAAGCAAGGCGGGGUGAGAGCCGUGAGAGAACGGUGUGAUCAGAGCAUCACCUCUGCAAUGUACUGGUCUCGUAUCUCUCACGGAGGAGGUCCGAAGAGAAGACCAGGCCUUGAUUUUAUGUAAUGUUUUUAUUAUGUGUGUGUGUGCGGCCGUCGUCCAUGGGGGACUGUCGCCAUUUUACUUUCAUUUUGUUGUUUAUUUUAUGAUUAUUAAAGUGUGUUGAACGUUCGCCGGUUACCGCCUCUAUCUUCCCGUAUAUACGAACUGCGUUACAUUGCUGCCGAAACCCAGGAGGAAGGAGGGACAUGCUGUCGGAGAGCCCUCGCUGCUGAGGGGGUUCGCGGUGCUGAGGAGGCGGUGGUGCUGGAGCGAUCAUACAACAGGUGGGGUGAAGAGUUCGCUGCCAUGGUCCUGGGUCGAGGUGGGGUGGCUGCCGUCCGAGAGGGAGCAGAGUCACCGCCGCCGUUCGCCGUGGGCCAGAGCCUGCUGCCUUCCGCCAUGAAGGGGAGGAGCAGGGAAUAGGGGAACUUGCUGCCGGCCGCCAGGGGGCAGAGGAAGAUCGAGCCAUCCACCGAGCGUCCAGUACCAUCGCAUGGCACCACGAGAAAUAGCAUCUCGGCUAGCUGAGGACCAAGCGGGUCCGGGAACUGGACUGAGAAUUUUUUUUCUUUUUUUUUUCUUUUUCCUCUCUCCCCUCUCUAGUCUCUGUCGCUCCUUGUGCUUCCGUCUCCAUUUCAUUACCCCCAGGUGCUGUGGCCGCUUAGACUGGCCCCCAGGGGGGAGUAGAGCGCAGUCUUGGGAGUACCCCCCGGCCUGCAAGGGGCAAUGGGGGUGUGUGACAAGCAGGGUGGGGUGAGAGGCAUGAGAGAACGGCGCGAGGCCGGUGGCGUGAUUGCUAAGGAACAUCACCUGUGCACUGCACCGGUCUCGUAUCUCUCAUGGAGGAGAUCCGGAAGCAUAAAGGGAGGAGCGACGACAGUCAAGUCACCUUUAUUUAUAUAGCGCUUUUUACAAUGUAGAUUGUGUCAAAGCAGCUUUACAUUGAUAACUGGUACAUUGUUUGGCUGCACAGCAGCUCUUAAAGAAUAGUGUCAAUGCAGGCAGAUCAAAGCACUGUUGAAUAUCAAAUGUCAAGUCAAGUGUCCCCAACUAAGCAAGCCAGAGGCGACAGCGGCAAGGAACCCAAACUCCAUCAGGUGACAUCAGGUGGCAGACAAGUGGCAAAUAGGUGUUUAAAUGGAGAAAAAAAACCUUGGGAGAAACCAGGCUUAGUCGGGGGGCCAGUUCUCCUCUGGCCAACAGUGCUUUGUUACGAUUCAGGUAGCUAUCAUAAGUACGACAGGAUCGCAACAUUCAAACUAUUUAUUCCAGUUCCAUCCAAUUGAGGAUCGUAUUCAUCACGGCGGUAUGGACGGUUGUUGAGGAACUGUCUUCGUGGCUGUCGUGUCGAUGAGGCCCUCACAGUGGAUGAUCUAGUUGACUCAAUCUCUGCUGAUACUUCAGGGCUGCGUUGUGGUCGUGUCAAGGUGCAGGUCCUUGGUCUCACCUGGAUACGGCCCGGAUCCGGUUGACUACGGUGAACCUCGGGAUAACCAGAAAGACUAAUAUUAGCGUAGAUGCCAUUCUUCUUCUGAUGUAACGAGUACAUCAGGCGUUAUAGGAAGUGUUCCCGGUUCCGGCUGACCUAAUUUAUUCAGCCUAAUAAUCCUUUAACGGAUUUGAAAAUAUAAAUUGGUAAUGUGUUAUGUGUAUGCCAGGUUAAAGAGAUGCGUUUUUAGUCUAGAUUUAAACUGACAGAGUGUGUCUGCUUCCCGAACAAUGCUAGGAAGAUUGUUCCAGAGUUUAGGUGCCAAAUAGGAGAAGGAUCUACCGCCUGCGGUUGAUUUUGAUAUUCCAGGUAUUAUCAGCUGGCCUGAAUUCUGAGAUCGCAAUAGACGUGAAGGACUAUAAUGAAUUAGGAGCUCGCUCAGGUACUGGGGAGCUAAACCAUUUAGUGCUUUGUAAGUAAUUAGCAAGAUUUUAAAAUCUAUACGAUGUUUAACAGGAAGCCAAUGCAGUGUUGACAGAACUGGGCUAAUAUGGUCAUACUUCCUAGUUCUAGUAAGAACUCUAGCUGCUGCAUUUUGUACGAGCUGUAGUUUAUUUAUCAAGCGAGCAGAACAACCACCCAGUAGAGCAUUACAGUAAUCUAGCCUUGAGGUCAUGAACGCAUGAACUAACUGUUCUGCAUUUUUCAUUGAGAGCAUAUGUCGUAGUUUAGAUAUAUUUUUAAGAUGGAAGAAUGCGGUUUUACAGAUGCUAGUAACAUGGCCUUCAAAUGAAAGAUUGGUAUCAAAGAGCACACCCAGAUUCCUAAGUGACGACGAAGAUUUAACAGAGCAGCCAUCAAGUGUUAGACAGUAUUCUAGGUUAUUACGUGAAGAAGUUUUUGGUCCAAAAAUUAUAAUCUCUGUUUUGUCUGAAUUUAGUAGUAGGAAAUUACUGGUCAUCCAAUUUUUUUUUUUUUUUUUUUUUUUUUUUU